UACGAAGGGUGCAAGCGUUACUCGGAAUUACUGGGCGUAAAGGGCGCGUAGGCGGCCUGUUAAGUCGAACGUGAAAUCCCCGGGCUCAACCCGGGAACUGCGUCCGAUACUGGCAGGCUUGAAUCCGGGAGAGGGAUGUGGAAUUCCAGGUGUAGCGGUGAAAUGCGUAGAUAUCUGGAGGAACACCGGUGGCGAAGGCGGCAUCCUGGACCGGCAUUGACGCUGAGGCGCGAAAGCCAGGGGAGCAAACGGG
rnacentral:rRNA from 1 species